UACGUAGGUGGCAAGCGUUGUCCGGAAUUAUUGGGCGUAAAGCGCGCGCAGGCGGUCUUUUAAGUCUGAUGUGAAAGCCCCCGGCUCAACCGGGGAGGGUCAUUGGAAACUGGGAGACUUGAGUACAGAAGAGGAGAGUGGAAUUCCAGGUGUACCGGUGAAAUGGGCAGAUAUCUGGAGGAACACCAGUGGCGAAGGCGACUUUCUGGUCUGUAACUGACGCUGAGGCGCGAAAGCGUGGGGAGCAAACAGG
rnacentral:misc_RNA from 1 species